GACGAACGCUGGCGGCGUGCUUAACACAUGCAAGUCGAGCGGUGCGGCGAACGGGUGAGUAACGCGUGAGUAACUGCCCCCCUCUCUGGGAUAACAGUUGGAAACGGCUGCUAAUACCUGAUAGUGGGGGAUGACUCGCGUCCUAUCAGCUUGUUGGUGGGGUAGUGGCGUACCAAGGCGACGACGGGUAGCCGGACUGAGCGGGCGACCUGCCACAUUGGGCUGAGAGACGGCCCAAACUCCUACGGGAGGCAGCAGUGGGGAAUAUUGCACAAGGGGGGAGACCCUGAGGCAGCAACGCCGCGUGCGGGAUGACGGCCUUCGGGUUGUAAACCGCUUACAGCCAUGACGCGGUAGUGGCAGAAGAAGCACCGGCUAACUACGUGCCAGCAGCCGCGGUAAUUC
rnacentral:rRNA from 1 species